rnacentral:rRNA from 1 species
AACGAACGCUGGCGGCAGGCCUAACACAUGCAAGUCGAGCGGACCUUUCGGGGUCAGCGGCGGACGGGUGAGUAACGCGUGGGAAUAUGCCCUUCUCUACGGAAUAGUCCUGGGAAACUGGGGGUAAUACCGUAUACGCCCUUUGGGGGAAAGAUUUAUCGGGGAAGGAUUAGCCCGCGUUGGAUUAGGUAGUUGGUGGGGUAAUGGCCUACCAAGCCGACGAUCCAUAGCUGGUUUGUGAAGAUGAUCAGCCACACUGGGACUGCGACACGGCCCAGACUCCUACGGGAGGGAGCAGUGGGGAAUCUUAGACAAGGGGGGCAACCCUGAUCUAGCCAUGCCGCGUGAGUGAUGAAGGCCUUAGGGUUGUAAAGCUCUUUCAGCUGGGAAGAUAAUGACGGUACCAGCAGAAGAAGCCCCGGCUAACUCCGUG